rnacentral:lncRNA from 1 species
AUGAUAUAUGUGAAAUUAAUUGAAUUAAAAAAAUCGUGAAUACAUGAGUGAAUCAAGAAGGGUAACAACAAAUUGCCUAGUUCCACUUUCAUAUGGAAAACAACAGUUUGUUUCAUUCCAACUAGAUUGUGGUAUUGUAAAGAAGUGAAAAACACCAUGUUAACUUAAAAUUAAAGGAAUAAAACCUACCUUUACCUUAUAGAAUAUUCCUUCUCAAUUGGCAGUAUACUUGCAUACAAUUUUUGGACCCCAAGGACCUAAACCUCUGCAUACAGAAUCAUCCAGAAAAAAGAUAAAGCAAUUAAUAAACUAUUUCAUUCCAAAAGCAAUCAAUGAAACUAAAUAAAAAAAUCAAAUUGGGGUAAGAGGACUUUGACAACAAUAUAAACAAAGGAGACCUACAAAAUUAUUCCAACAACAAUUUAAGGUAGAAGUAAUAACCAAAUAAGAGUUGAUGGUGAGAUAAGAUUUUAGUUCUCAGUAGUAAUAAAUUGCCAUGUUUUUCCUAACAUUUGUGGCUCCCUUCUACCGAACCCCAAAAGCUAUUUCAUCUACAAUGAGGGUUUCUUUAGGUUUAGAAUGCUUUAGGGAGAAUGUUAAUUGAGUCAAAGUCUUUGGGGUCCAAAAUAAAAAUUGAGAAAAAGGAAGAGAACAUUUACCAGAGCAAUGGAGGAAACCAAAGUGGAAAAAUGAGAGGGAAAGGGAGAUUCCUGACUUGAGUUACCUUCAGGUUCUCAGUCCCGUUGCAACAGUAGUGAACGAUAAUGGACUGGUGGUGAUCGGAGUGGUGAACGAUGAUGGUGGUGGCCGAUGGGUGUUGGAGUGGAGAAGGGGUUUAGAUUUGCUACUGUUGGAGAUUAGAACUAGAAAUUUGGGGAAGGGUCGAUUGAGGAAAUCAGGAAAAGAAAAGAUGUAACACCUUGUUUU